rnacentral:rRNA from 1 species
AUUGAACGCUGGCGGCAUGCUUUACACAUGCAAGUCGAGCGGCAGCGCGGGGGCAACCCUGGCGGCGAGCGGCGAACGGGUGAGCAAUGCAUCGGAACGUACCCUGGAGUGGGGGAUAACGCCGCGAAAGCGGCGCUAAUACCGCAUAUGCUCUGAGGAGGAAAGUGGGGGACCGCAAGGCCUCACGCUCUGGGAGCGGCCGAUGUCCGAUUAGCUAGUUGGUGGGGUAAAGGCUUACCAAGGCGACGAUCGGUAGCUGGUCUGAGAGGAUGAUCAGCCACACUGGGACUGAGACACGGCCCAGACUCCUACGGGAGGCAGCAGUGGGGAAUUUUGGACAAUGGGGGGCAACCCUGAUCCAGCCAUGCCGCGUGAGUGAAGAAGGCC